GAUGAACGCUGGCGGCGUGCCUAAUACAUGCAAGUCGAGCGAACGGACGAGAAGCUUGCUUCUCUGAUGUUAGCGGCGGACGGGUGAGUAACACGUGGAUAACCUACCUAUAAGACUGGGAUAACUUCGGGAAACCGGAGCUAAUACCGGAUAAUAUUUUGAACCGCAUGGUUCAAAAGUGAAAGACGGUCUUGCUGUCACUUAUAGAUGGAUCCGCGCUGCAUUAGCUAGUUGGUAAGGUAACGGCUUACCAAGGCAACGAUGCAUAGCCGACCUGAGAGGGUGAUCGGCCACACUGGAACUGAGACACGGUCCAGACUCCUACGGGAGGCAGCAGUAGGGAAUCUUCCGCAAUGGGCGAAAGCCUGACGGAGCAACGCCGCGUGAGUGAUGAAGGUCUUCGGAUCGUAAAACUCUGUUAUUAGGGAAGAACAUAUGUGUAAGUAACUGUGAACAUCUUGACGGUACCUAAUAAGAAAGCCACGGCUAACUACGU
rnacentral:rRNA from 1 species